rnacentral:other from 1 species
GCGAGGCUGCGCGGUGCGACAGGACAUCACUAUCCCCGGGGCCUUAUCGAUCCGAACGGGAGCUGUUCCUGACCGAGCCCGUGGGCUCGGGCAAACGGCGCCCACCUACGCUGUAGGUUCCCGGGAUCGAUCGCUCCAUCGGCCGAGGUGGCUUCGCC